UCCCUCUUAGCUCAGUGGUAGAGCGCGUCACUAGUAUACAUAGCCCCCCUAGUCUAGGUAUGACGAGGUCAGUCGUUCAAGUCGGCUAGAGGGAA